rnacentral:rRNA from 1 species
AUUGAACGCUGGCGGCAGGCCUAACACAUGCAAGUCGAACGAGUGGCGGACGGGUGAGUAAUGUCUGGGAAACUGCCUGAUGGAGGGGGCUAACUACUGGAAACGGUAGCUAAUACCGCAUACCAUCGGAUGUGCCCAGAUGGGAUUAGCUAGUAGGUGGGGUAAAGGCUCACCUAGGCGACGAUCCCUAGCUGGUCUGAGAGGAUGACCGGCCACACUGGGACGGAGACACGGGCCAGACGCCGACGGGAGGCAGCAGUGGGGAAUAUUGCACAAUGGGCGAAAGCCUGAUGCAGCCAUGCCGCGUGUAUGAAGAAGGUCUUCGGGUUGUAAAGUACUUUCAGCGGGGAGGCGUUACCCGCAGAAGAAGCACCGGCUAACUCCGUGCCAGCAGCCGCGGUAAUUC